rnacentral:rRNA from 1 species
UGGGGAAUUUUGGACAAUGGGGGGAACCCUGAUCCAGCCAUGCCGCGUGUCUGAAGAAGGCCUUCGGGUUGUAAAGGACUUUUGUUCGGGAGCAAAGGCUGCGACCUAAUACGUUGCGGAUAUGAGAGUACCGAAAGAAUCAGCACCGGCUAACUACGUGCCAGCAGCCGCGGUAAUACGUAGGGUGCGAGCGUUAAUCAGAAUUACUGGGCGUAAAGCGUGCGCAGGCGGUUUAUUAAGUUUGAUGUGAAAUCCCCGGGCUUAACCUGGGAACUGCAUUGGAUACUGGUAGACUAGAGUGCGUCAGAGGGGGGUAGAAUUCCGCGUGUAGCAGUGAAAUGCGUAGAUAUGCGGAGGAAUACCGAUGGCGAAGGCAGCCCCCUGGGAUGACACUGACGCU